rnacentral:lncRNA from 1 species
UAUGAGCAUCACCUUCUUCAGCGUUUGAACAGAGCCGGUGACCCCUCCCCAUCGCCGGAAAUUCGAAAACAAACCUCCCUUCACCACCAAAUCUUCAUCUUCACCCUCAACCUAGCAGCUGCAGAAAGAAAACGAAGCAGCAGGGACACUAAGACCUAAGAGGACAGUAGCCAUUUUCUAUGAACCUGGAGCAAACGAGACAUAAGAGAAUUUGAGUUCUCUUAUUCUGAACUAAAAACCUUGGACCGUGCUAAUCUUUUUCGACUUCGUCCUUUCGUUUCAUGGACUGUUUGACAUGUGAAUUUCUAUACUGGAGACGUUGCGUUAAGAUUGAGCACUUCUGAUUCUGGACGUGAGGGGCUGAGGGGUUCAGAGCAAUUUUCAUUGAAGUUGUGCUAUGGAAGCCACCGAUUUGAGGUUCCGUCCGCAUCUUGUCGCGAUUUUUGCUUCUGAAAAUUGUUAUUUGGAUUUUUCGUACAUCGGCUCAUAGUUGUCCCUUAAUAGAGGUUCCUUCUCUCCUUUCAAUUAUUCUGUUUCUUGAUUUCAUGAUAUUUACUAGAAUUUGGUCUAUAUUAAUGAAUGUUUAAUUUAAAAUGAUACUCUUGUUAUUAUGUGGUUGCAAGUAUGAUAAAAUAAAGGAGUUAUUUCCUUUUGUGAUUGAUUUGUAUUACUGUUAACUAUUUUGGAAUGGAUAUUUAGCUUAGCAAGUGCAUUUCUGGAGAACGGAUUAGUUGAAGAAUAAUUGAGUGCACCUUUUAAGUUAGAAAUAAAUAAUGUGAUUGUUAUCUGAAAGGGCUAAUGGAUUAGUGUUAUAAGCCUAAUUAGGAAUAACCCUUUUAAUUGUAUUGAGGUGUGCCAUCCUAAUUAAAUCCUUUAUGGCCCUCUUAUUAAUCUUAUAAAUUAGAUACUAAAAUAAAUUUCGUAGUUUGCUUUAGGUGCGUUAAUUAAAUAAAGUAUCAUAGCUACGAGUACGGUUCCCGUGACGUAGUUGUGAUACACGAUUCUAAAAUCCGGGUGUGCAUUUCAUGUGACCUGAUUCUAAUUUCUAACAAGGUUAAAUAGAAUGUGUCAUGAACCACGGGUGCAUUUCAUGUAGCGUGACUUGAGAUAUGUUUUAAAUAACCUUGAAUUAAUUCCUUAAAUAAAUAAUAGAGUUUUAAAAGUUAAAAAUGCGCAUAGGUUUAAAGUUUUUUUAAAAUCAAAUAAAUAGGCCAAUAAUAACAGUUGAGCGACCGUGCUACAACCACGGAAUCCGGGAAUGCCUAACACCUUCUCCCGAGUUAAAAGAAUUCCUUACCUGGAUUUUUGUAUUCCCGGACUGUGAAACAGAGUCAAUAUUCCUCGAUUCGGGAUUUUAAACCGGUGACUUGGGACACCAUUAAUUAUCCCAAGUGGCAACUCUGAAUAAACAUAAAUAAUCUUGUUUUGAUUGUCACUUAAAUUGGAAAAAACUCCCUUAUACCCUUCCAGGGGUAGUAAAAAGGAUGUGUGACACAUAUAUUUUAGCAUGUCACUUAUACCAGUCCAGGAGUAUGACAUUUUGAUUUUCAUUGAUCAUGUACAUGUAUUCCUGUAUAUAUGCUUUCUGCCUGAUAUGGUUUGGACAGGUGGCCUAUGACCAUGCCAGGCGAAAUAUGAAAUUAAGCAUGUGAUCGCAUGGGGUAGAUUAUGAUAUUGAGCAUGUGACCAUAUCAGACGGAUUGUGAUAUUGAGCCAGUGACCACGUCGGACAAAUUUUGCUAUUAAGCCUAUGACCACGUCGAAAGGAUGAUGAUUAUUUGCACGUGACUACAUCAUGAAGCAUUUGGAUAUGGAUCUAUCCUCCUAAAGUCACCCUCUCAUAUUUCUUCUUGAUGGUGUACAUGCGGA